AUGAAGCCGGCCAUCGUCUCGAGCUGCUCCGUGCAGUCCCUACGUCAAAGCGGCCCGGCUUCGGCUAACACCACCAUCCACAUUGGCUGGAAGCGCAGGCCAAGAGGUCCUCGUGCGCCAGACGAGAGGGUUGUAGUAGCUGAUCGUGUACCGCCACUAGAAGCUGCUAUUCGAGGAUUUGCUGACAGGGGGACUGAGGUGGUCGUCAACCCGGUGCUUGGCACUAUUUUUGAUUCGCUGGCAGAGGCAUAUGAAUUCUACAAUCUAUAUUCAUGGGAGGUGGGCUUUGGGAUUUGUUACGGCAAGAGCAGGCAAAAUGUCAAUGGGACAAAACAAGUGGUACUGGAACAACGGCUGGUGCAUGGGCCUUAA
rnacentral:rRNA from 1 species